GCAGCGCCUGCUGCAACGUGAACGUGCGGUCUGCUGCAAACGGGAGCGAGUUUAUUGCUUCUGGACGGAAAAUGUUUGUGCAAGCUUGUGAUUUCAGCGAUUCUACAUCCAGAACAAAUUGUUUAAACACAGUCACAACAACAACAACUAUAUAUUGUGUUUGUUCAAAUGUGUAUAAAUGAGCUAGUUACUUACUCUUAUUAGGACGGAAGUAUUGUAUGUACUCUUACUAUAUUGUGAUUAUCGAACUGUGUACAUGGACAUAUUUUAGUAAACGUUGCUCUGAAGUUAUUGUAUAUUUUAUCUGCUCUUACUGCAUUGUGAAAUAUGUAUAUUUUGUGAGAGCUGUAAGUCGCCCUGAGUGAGGGCGUCUGCUAAGAAAAUGAAUAAGAAAAAGAGGAAGAAAACAAAACGCAACGGAAUUAUUUCUUAAAUCGUGAAGUCACGCCCGUGACGAGGACAAUAGAAACAGGUCAUCUUAACGAAGAUUAUGGAUCCAACAAUGUACAGGGAAAUAUUACUUUACAAGACAAUGGGAAAAUACCCCGAGAAGGCCAGGA